AUUAUCGAAUCAUUUUCGGUCCAUGCGAAAUGUUGAUGUUGGGUACUAAAACUAUUGAUCAAAAUGACCAUGUCAUAGAUGGCAUUUAGGAUUCUUUAUAGUCGGAAAUCAUGCUAUUAAUUUUAAUUCCUGUCGUGAAUACAUGCUGUGACUGUAAGGAAUAUUUUGAACUAUCGAAAUGAAACGUACCGUUACUGUGAUAUACAUUCCACAGACAUUAGCGACAAGACGUCUUUAUUGACCAAUGAAAAAGCAGAAUGAAUGUCCCGUGACUAUUAUUUAGGCCAAGUAAUUUUAUUCGUCGAUUAUUGUUCACGCUAUUUGACUCUAAUUAUCGAAAUCCAAACACCAAUUAUAAACACUGUGUGAGCAUAAGAAAUCCUGUGAAGGUAUAUAAUAGACUGGUAAAUGAAUAUGUCUAGCAGCAGCAGUGCUAAUGUAAAGCCACUACCAAAAUGGAUGUUGAAGUCCACCCAAAACUCGGAAAAAUCUACUAAAAAUAAUAAAUCGGGGAAUAAAAGCAGUGGAUCUUCUGGAUCAUCAGUUCCUAGAAAAAGAUUACGGAAGACAAUAUACUGUAUGACAGAAAAAGAACUAUUGGAAACAGCUAAAGAUAUAUUGAAACAGGCUGGAAAAGAAUUUAUGAUCGACGAAUCAAACAGUCCUGUCAAGAUAAAUCAGUUCGGAAAAAGACAUUACGAUUCCAAGAAAAGUUCAAAUAUUGACAUAAAAGUGUCGGAUGAAACCGAUGAUAAUGAUACUUUUGAUGAUCUGUUCAGUACAGAGAGUAGUGAAAGUGAACCUUGUGAUCCAAUUAUUACAAACAAAACUGAUCAACCAGACACUAAAAAACAGAAACCCGAUUUAUCCAUCUUAGAUGAAAUAUUUCUAUGACCUAUAGAGUACAUACAACAUUAUUAUUUUACUGGAUGUUAUCUUAAUACUUGUAACUAACUUAACAUGAUAUUAUUACUCACUCUACGUGUAUCUCAAUAAUUCAUUUAAACAUAGACAUAGGUUUGUCCGGCCACUUCAUAUGGGAUGAAUAAUGUCUAUAUUUUACUUCAUUUGAGAAGUCUAGGCCAAUAACUGAACACUUAUGGCAGAUUGAGUCCAAAUUAGAAUUCAUCAGAUAUCUUAUCUUACAGACAGUCGAUCAAUGUAUUAUCAUUACACGCAACAUAAAUCAAGUGACAACAGUAUUGUUCUGAAGACUGAUCCAUUAUUCAUGCUCCUAAGGUGGGUGGUGCAGAGUGAGCAGGCCUUUUUCAAGAUAGGUUAUAACGAAAAGUUUUCAUUAGUGUGGAAAGUUUUCGUUAGUGUGGAAUUUUUUUUUUUAUAUUUGCUGUAGGAAUAAAGUUGGUUAUUGUGAAAA